UUCCUGGGGUUGCCAUCACAAAGGACCAUACACUGGGCAACUUAAAUAACAGCACUGUAUUGUCUCACAGUUAGGAAGCUGGUAGUUCAAGAUCCAGGUGUCACAGGGUCGGUUCCUUGUGAGGCCGAGGGAGGGAUUUGCUCCAUGCCUCCUGGCUUCUGGUGCUUUGCCAGGACUCCUGGCCCUUCUUGGGCUUGCAAAUGAUCUCUGAUCUCUGCCUUCAACUUCACCAGGUGUUCUCUGGGGAAUGCACCUGAGUCCAAACUUCUUUUUAUCAGGACACCAGUCAUUGGAUUCGGGGCCCACCCUACUCCAGGAUGAUCUCAUCUUCAAUUACAUCGGCAAGGACCUGUUUCCACAUAAGGUCGCAUUCUGAGUACUGAAGGUUAUGACUUCCACAAAUGAAUGGAGUGGCGGACACAAUUCAACACAUAACAGACAACUGGAGAUAAGAAAGAAAACACAACCAACCAUGAGUGGAAAGGCGUUCAGACUGAAGGAGAGAAAGAAAUACGGAUACCAAGCGACAGAGGUGGUUGUACGCCUUGAUAGAGUGGAACCAGCCACAUGAGAGGUACCCACAUAUAAGGUCAUCAUCAACGUGCUCAAUUGUCUCCCGUUUUUCUUUGUUUCUCUUUCCCAUCUUUGAUAAGAACUUCUCAUCUUUGCAGUGAUGCAGAACCAACAGAAUCAUGACCUCUUGUUUCCAUGUAUGCAGUUGAGGUCAUGCUUUUAUGACACCUUUGGGCAAAACUUUUUCCCUCAUUGAGAAACUAGAGAAACAUUACCGCAAUCCCGUCAUCUUUCACAAGACUUAUCCGUGUGUUCCCACAUACAAACUGUUCCUUUUGUUGGUAUUUUUGCUUAUGAUGAACUUAAGAUAAAUAGGAUAGUAUUUGUACCGCAUUGAGGGUAAAAAGAAAAUGUUUUUUUUUUAAUUUUUUUUUUAAUGUUUAUUUAUUUUUGAGACAGAGAGAGACAGAGCAUGAACGGGGGAGGGUCAGAGAGAGGGAGACACAGACUCUGAAACAGGCUCCAGGCUCUGAGCCGUCAGCACAGAGCCCGACGCGGGGCUCUAACUCACGGACCGCGAGAUCAAGACCUGAGCCGAAGUCGGCCGCUUAACCGACUGAGCCACCCAGGCACCCCAAAAUGUUUUUUUUUAAUGUUUAUUUUUGCGAGAGAGAGAGACAGAGUGUGAGGAGGGGAAGGGCAGAGGGAGAGGGAGACACAGAAUGCGCAGCAGGCUCCUGGCUCUGAGCUGUCAGCACAGAGCCCGAUGGCGAGAUCGUGACCUGAGCCAGAGUCAGAAGCUUACCCGACUGAGCCACCCAGCUCCCUAAUGUUUUACAUGCACAGUAUAACCACCCCAAAGAUAUCUUUAUUAAAUAAGACCAAACAGAACCACAUCGAAACAUUAACAGUGGUUGUCUUUGAGUGAUGGAACUAUGGCUAAUUUUUUUCCUGUGGAAAAAUUAACAUUUUUAAGAAUAGAUUUUAUUUUUAUUAAAGUAAAAUUUUAAAUAAUAUUUAAUAGGCAAUUUCAGAGAAUUAUUUCUUGAUAUAUGAUCUUUAUGUAAAUAACUUGUAAGUUUUAGCUAGCAUAGUACUUCAAAAAAGAAAGCACUGAUUAAUAGACCUUAUAUUUUACACUACAGUCUUUUAAGAAUUUUUAAACUAUGUCUCUUUAAGUUACACGGAAGACGAUUCUUCCUACAAAUGUUACACAGUUUCUCCUAAUCUUUUAUUUUAUCAAAACAUUCAUUUUUAAAAACACAUCUGUGUGGCCAACAGGCACAUGAAAAGAUGCUCAACAUCGCUCUUCAUCAGGGAAAUACAAAUCAAAACCACACUCAGAUAUCACUUCACGCCAGUCAGGGUGGCCAAAAUGAACAAAUCAGGAGACUAUAGAUGCUGGAGAGGAUGUGGAGAAUCGGGAACCCUCUUGCACUGUUGGUGGGAAUGCAAACUGGUGCAGCCGCUCUGGAAAGCAGUGUGGAGGUUCCUCAGAAAAUUAAAAAUAGAUCUACCCUAUGACCCAGCAAUAGCACUGUUAGGAAUUUACCCAAGGGAUACAGGAGUACUGAUGCAUAGGGGCACUUGUACCCCAAUGUUUAUAGCAGCAUUCUCA